CAUGUUCACAACACCAGGUGCAGCAAGUUAAGAAUUGUUUCUUAUUAUUUUCUCUGAUCUUCUCACAGCCUUUCCCAGACUGAAGCCUGGGAAAGUUGUGUUUCUUCCUGUGGCCAGAGAGCUGCUGCCACACUGGAUGAAAUAGAGAAGUACAAGCUUUGUUCAGCGGAGUGUUAAUUUGGGUUCCAGUGGCUCACACAGGAAUGAGAAAAGCUGCAAGCACAAUGCAUCAGGAGAGAUCCAGAGGUACAAUGCUAUGUUAGAGAUUUGGUGGAGACAUGUGCCCUGAAGAUCCAGGGAGGACUGCAUGGAGUCUGUUGCAGAAGGGGAGACAAUGAAAGCUGGUGGACUAAAAUAAAAUCUGUCCUUGUGUAGGAAAGAAGAAAAA